GCUUGGCUCUAUGGUUUUGACAAACUUGAAACUAAUUUAGCAGAAACCAUGCUAUCUCUUCAACAACCAAGGGAUUUGAGUUUCGUAGUGGAUUCGCAGAUUAGCCAAUUGUGCAUAAAUGUGCUAUAGAUUUAUUGCGAUUUUGAUUCUUGUACUUUGUUUGGAUUUCAAUUUAGCCCUUAUAGCUUCAAGUAAUAAAUUUAGUCCUACCGAUCGUCCCUAGAGCAAGUAGCAAAGGGCUUGGUGGUUGGUACCCGAGACCCAAGUUCGAAUCCUAGUUGAUUCACAUUUUCAGCUUAGUUUAUUUCUAAAUGAAAUAAACGAAGCGUAAAAUUGAUUAUGAGUUUUCCUAUAUUGAAUUGAAAUUCUUAGGAUGAAAUUGAAACUCAAGUCAUACUAUGGGGAUGAAUUAAGAUUUUAACAGAUGAAAUUUUUUAGAAUGAAAUUGAAAUUCAGCUCACGCUUGAAGGGCUAAUUUGUAAUUUAUGGAAUAAAGAUAUGUAUUUGAGCCUUUAUUUCAUAUUGUCUUUUGCCAAUAAGAAAGUUUAGGAGUAAUUCUAUAAUUUCUAUGUAUUUGAUUUCUCCAGAUGCAAUAAUGCAGUUCAAAAUUUGAAAGGUAAAUUUACAAAAUAAUUUUUUAGUAUCUACUAAGAUCUAUUCAAAAUUUAAAUUCUGAGUUCUUAGUUGAUGCAACAUUAGUAUUUCAAACUGAUAUGUGUGUUGGUAAUUGUAAACUACUCCAGUGUGAAGCCUUUUGUUGCUCUUUAUGUACAGAAUACCAAUUAAAAUGCUCAUGUGAUAUGUUUUUUUAUCUUUUAAGAGAUUGCUUUGCAGAGUUAGUUUCGACCAAUAUUCCUAGGUAUGCAUUUAUGGGUGUAUAUAUAUGUGCAUAUAUUUAGGUUAAUUUUUUGCCAUCCAACUUUUAUACUUGAGAAAGCCCUUACAAUUUAUUUGUAUACCUUCAUGUUUUUUCAUACAAUUUCUAUACUUGGGACAUACAUAAAUAUAUCUUCAUACAAUAAAAUUUUCAAAAGAAGAGGAUGCAAAACCUUUAAAAGAAGAAAAUGUUAAUGCCUUGAAUCAACAGUGUUUCUGUUGGGAGCCGAAUUUCCUUCUCUUUGACACGGUCAAAGAUCUUCAUCGGGAAACGCGUCGGGAUGCGAAACGGCUACGAUUAGUGACUCGCGAAGUUGGCGCCCUUCGAUUGAAUCAAGCGAUUCGACUGAUGAGGGAUCGGAUCGGCCGAGUUCAAAGACAUUUACUAUAUACUCGGUUCGGCUUAAAGAGCCGAAUGUACAAAAUGCACAAAGUUUUGGGUCAACUGAUGAGCUGAAUAGAUGGAAUACACAAUGACUACGGCUGAAAGAGCCGAAUGCCUUUAUAUAUUAAAAUAAAGUUAGGAACUCAUACAAAACAGAGUGUGCCCGAAGGGAAUACAAACUCUGAAAAUCUAGAUUACAACAGAGUGUGCCCGUGGAGCAUACAGACUCUAGAGAUCUAACUUAAAAACUACUUCUAGGAAAGCAAUAAAUGCAGGUAAAAAAGAUUACAUGUAGACUAUUCCUAGAAAACGAUAAAUGCAGGAAAGGAAAAUAUUGAAAAUGCGGUGGUCUUCUUAUUCAGGGAAGAGAAAGAUCUCUACUACAUGCUUCAAAGUUACUAUUUAUAAUAUCUUAUCAGCCCACAUUAUUGAUUGGUUAUAGUAGUGGGGAAAGUGGUGUAGCCAUGAUCAUGAAAAUUACGCCCCACUUCUCAUGGAAGUUAGGUGCCCCAGUGAAGUAAUACAACAUUUUACAUGUCCUUAAUAAUAGCCUUUUUGUUAGUGGGUAAAAUAUAGACUGUUCAUGCACUGUUUGUUUUCCAGUUAUUACUAUCUUAAAUUAUUGUGAUCUACGUUUCUUCUGUCAUGCUGAACAUGCUGUUGUUUGUAGAACUAAAAAAUUAUGGUUUGUAAGAGAGUUUUAUCUGUGCUGGUGUUUCUUCUACCCAAGCGAAUAUUGUCUUGUAGUAUGUAAACUUUUCUGUGUUUUCUCUUCGACAUCCUUUCGACUGGAAAUUGCUAGGACACACCUUUAACAUGACCAUCCAACCUUUUAAAUUGUAAUGGUGUCGAUUGCUAUCUUGGCCUAUACAUGGCUGCCGCAUAUAAAAAGUGCAACAACAAAUACUGCUACAGAAAUGUCCCUACAUACACUAUAGAUAUGUGUGUGUGUGUGUGUGUGUGUGUGUUUGGGGUUUGGGGGAAGAGAGAAGAAUACUUGACGUCUUAAGAGAGAGUGGGGGGAAGAGGGAGCGGGAGGGAAUACUUGAUGUCUUAAGAGAGAGCGAGAGGGAGAGAAAGAGGUUGGGAAUACUUGAUCUCUUGAGAGAGAGAAUAAAGCUAGAAUACUUGAUGUCUUAGUAACAGAUUUGUCAAUGCUUGCGAUAUUUUAUAUAUAGAACAUCACAUUCAAAUUAAAAAUUAAUUUUAAGAUAUGAAUUUUUGAAAAAAUCAGAUGCGGUGCAUGAGUCAUAUGGAUACACCACGUCAAAGUCUAUUACUUAUGCAUCAAAGUAAGAUUUGAAAAUUUAAUUGUAAUACUUUUUUGAGAGGAAGGUAGCAAAUUAUCCGAUUCGUUUAUUUUUUUAGAAAUGAACUUAGUUAGAAAUAUGAAACAACUUGGCUUUGAACUUGGGUAUUUGGGAAUUUGAUAUCAAUCAUCAAGCCCUUCGUCAGCUGUGUCAGGUACGGUUGGUGAUUAUUCUAUGUAUUGUUAAAUGCUAAUAUUGAAAAUUUAUGAUUCUCUAUAUGUAGGUAUUUUGAAUUUCGAAGAAUAUAUCUAAAUGGUUAGAUUUCAUUAAGGUAUAUAUUAUAGAGUUUUACGAAGUGUUAUUAUGAGAUUUA
rnacentral:lncRNA from 1 species